ACGAACGCUGGCGGCGUGCCUAAUACAUGCCAGUAGAACGCACAGUUUAUACCGUAGCUUGCUACACCAUAGACUGUGAGUUGCGAACGGGUGAGUAACGCGUAGGUAACCUGCCUGGUAGCGGGGGAUAACUAUUGGAAACGAUAGCUAAUACCGCAUAAUAUUAAUUAUUGCAUGAUAAUUAAUUGAAAGGUGCAAUUGCACCACUACCAGAUGGACCUGCGUUGUAUUAGCUAGUAGGUGAGGUAACGGCUCACCUAGGCGACGAUACAUAGCCGACCUGAGAGGGUGAUCGGCCACACUGGGACUGAGACACGGCCCAGACUCCUACGGGAGGCAGCAGUAGGGAAUCUUCGGCAAUGGACGAAAGUCUGACCGAGCAACGCCGCGUGAGUGAAGAAGGUUGUCGGAUCGUAAAGCUCUGUUGUAAGAGAAGAACGGGUGUGAGAGUGGAAAGUUCACACUGUGACGGUAUCUUACCAGAAAGGGACGGCUAACUACGUG
rnacentral:rRNA from 1 species